CUGCUACUCCGGCGACAAGCGCACAAGCUUUUGGGUCCAUGGCGCCACCGGUAAACAAGAACAACUCUGGGUGCUUGAUUCUGUCUCUGGAUAAGUGAAAAUAGAUGGCAGCGAAGUUGAACUGGUUUUGCAAACACUAGCAAGUAUUUCUUCAUCGCUUCCAUCGUGCAAGUUGCGCUAGCAUUGCGGGCAUUUUUCUUCAUAUUUGGGAAGAGGGGAUGAGGUUGAAAAAUGAAGCUGGUGAUGAAAAGAAUGGAGGGCACCCGCAAAGUGAUGACGAGGAAGGAGCCGUGCAGGAGACAGCUUUCAGAGCUUGAAGAAGAUGGUUUCACAUCCACGUUGAUCUAUG